UACGGAGGGGGCUAGCGUUGUUCGGAAUUACUGGGCGUAAAGCGCACGUAGGCGGCUUUGUAAGUUAGAGGUGAAGGCCCGGAGCUCAACUCCGGAAUUGCCUUUAAGACUGCAUCGCUAGAAUUGUGGAGAGGUAAGUGGAAUUCCGAGUGUAGAGGUGAAAUUCGUAGAUAUUCGGAAGAACACCAGUGGCGAAGGCGACUUACUGGACACAUAUUGACGCUGAGGUGCGAAAGCGUGGGGAGCAAACAGG
rnacentral:rRNA from 1 species